rnacentral:misc_RNA from 1 species
GAAAUGCGAUACUUGGUGUGAAUUGCAGAAUCCCGUGAACCAUCGAAUCUUUGAACGCACAUUGCGCCCCUUGGUAUUCCGAGGGGCAUGCCUGUUCGAGCGUCAUUAUAACCACUCAAGCCUUGGCUUGGUCUUGGGGUUCGCGGUUUCGCGGCCCUUAAAAUCAGUGGCGGUGCCGUUUGGCUCUAAGCGUAGUAAUUCUCUCGCUAUAGGGUCCAGGUGACCACCUGCCAGAACCCCCCAUUCUUUACGGUUGACCUCGGAUCAGGUAGGGAUACCCGCUGAACUUAA